AGCCUUAAAGUCCAAGUCGAAGGCAGCACGGACUUCGGUCUGGUGGCGAGUGGCGAACGGGUGAGUAAUGUAUCCGAAUGUGCCCAGUAGCGGGGGAUAACUACGCGAAAGCGUACCUUUUAAAGAAUACGCCCUACGGGG
rnacentral:rRNA from 1 species